GUUGCAUGAGGUCAAACAGAUGAUAUUUUUCUGAGAAUUGCAAAAAUUAACAAAACAGAUUAUUCGCAUCUUAUCACAUGGGGAAAAUUUGACUUGAAAUCCCAGAUAAUCUUAAAAAUAAUAAAAUACAAAGUACAUAUAAAUAUAAUCAAUAAAAAGGAAAAAAAUACUCGCAACCUACAUAUAUAAGAGUGAUUGAAAGCAAAACAUGCAGUAAAAAGACUAAAGAUAAUAUUAUAAAUCUUAGCAGAUUUUUCUGGCAUUUGUGAAAUUUUAAAGAUAAAACAAAAAGUGAAUAUCAAACAUAAGUUGGAAUAAAUUACACAACAAUUAAAAUAUUCAACUUCAACAACUCAGACUGGUACUCACUUAGGAUUCAUCUGAAGCAUAUUUUUGACUUAAAAGAGGUGA